ACGCUCUGGAGACAUUACAAAUAUAUGGCAUUAAUGCUAUACCACUUAAAAACCCCGGCAGCAGGUUACGCAUACGACAAGUGAUCACGGAAGGCAGUCAUCUGCAUCAUUAUGCGUUCUAUGCUCCCUCUGUUCAUUUUGUGUUCUCUUGUCGCAAUUGCUAACAGUAAAAACCAGUGUAGACAGCCAAAGACCACAUGCCUGGCUAAAGAUGUGUGUCGCCUUCUUGGUGGCAAAAAUCAAGGCCCCUGCUUUCAAGGCGUCUGUUGCGACAAAACUCAAAGCAGCUCAAAACAGUGCACAUUUCGAGGUACCACGUGUAUGGCAAGAAAGAUGUGCAAGCUCUUGAGGGGGAGUAUUCGUGGCAGUUGUUUUAAAGGUGUUUGCUGCAAAAAACGUAAG
rnacentral:lncRNA from 1 species